AUGGCCAUGGACGGCGUGGGCUUUGGCCUGCCCUGGGGGCUGUCUCAGGGGUCUCACAGCACUCCCUGUGUUGCAGCGAACCCGACCAGCCCCAGCGUCUUCCCGCUGAGCCUCAAGAGCGCCGACCAAGCCGGACACGUGGUCGUUGGAUGCCUGAUCCAGGGCUUCUUCCCAGCGGAGCCCAUGGAGGUGACCUGGACCGGGGAGGGCGGGUCCACCAAGAACUUCCCCCCCAUGCUGGCUGCUUCCGGGGGCCUGUACAGCAUGACCAGCCAGCUGACCCUGCCAGCCGACCAGUGCCCAGCUGACGCCGCCAAGACAUGCCACGUGCAGCACAACUCCAAUUUCAACAAGGAUGUGAAAGUGCGCUGCAAAGAUCAACCUAAUAUAUGCCCACCAUCAAACUGCGAGCCCCAGCUGUCACUGCACCGGCCCGCCCUCGAGGACCUGCUGCUGGGCUCCAAUGCCAACCUCACGUGCACCCUGAGAGGCCUGAAAAACCCCGAGGGUGCCACCUUCACCUGGAAUCCCUCCGGUGGGCAGGACGCCAUUCAGGGGACCCCUCAGCGUGACUCCUGUGGCUGCUACAGCGUGUCCAGCGUCCUGCCAGGCUGCGCCGAGCCAUGGAACCGCGGGGAGACCUUCUCAUGCACUGCCACCCACCCUGAGUCCAAGAGCUCGAAAACCGCCACCAUCUCCAAGCCCUCAGGGAGCAACUUCCGGCCCCAGGUCCACCUGCUGCCGCCGCCGUCGGAGGAGCUGGCCCUCAAUGAGCUGGUGACACUGACGUGCCUGGUGCGGGGCUUCAGCCCCGAGGACGUGCUGGUGCGGUGGCUGCAAGGGAUGCAGGAGCUUCCUCCAGAGAAGUACCUGACCUGGGGGCCCCUGCCCGAGGCCGGCCAAGGCGUCACCACGUUCGCCGUGACCAGCGUGCUGCGCGUGGAGGCUGAGUCCUGGAAAAACGGGGACAACUUCUCCUGCAUGGUGGGCCACGAGAGCCUGCCGCUGACCUUCACCCAGAAGACCAUUGACCGCCUGGCGGGUAAACCCACCCACGUCAACGUGUCCGUGGUCUUGUCGGAGGUGGAAGGCACCUGCUACUGACCCGCCCCCACCUGCCCUCCCCGCCCUUGAAUAAACUCCAUGCUCGCCCAAA